rnacentral:lncRNA from 1 species
AGCAGGGUGUAAGCAGCGUGAAGGUGGGUUGGAGGUAAAGAUUUGGAGCUACUGAUAUUAUCAGAUAAGUGCAUUGGAAACCAUGAGUGUCCAAGAGAUAGACCAGGAGGGAUUCUAAAAUAAGAGAACAAAGAAUAAAUCCUACUAAUUUUAAAAGGUGAAUGAGAUUUAAAUAAAAGCCUAACAGAGAGACAGACACAAAGCAACCCAAGAGUUAACCAAAGAGAUUAUAGAACAAUUGGACGAGUUUUUCCCCAAAAGUCAAUGUGAAGAAACUUUUAGAAGGGAGAGCAUAAUGGUCAGUAUCAAACAUCCACCCUGCCAAAAAACAAACAAACAAACAAACAAACAAAAACAAAAAAAAAAACAAAAAAACAAAAAUCAAGUGAGAUAAAGAUAGGAAGUCCUCCACAGACUUGGAAAUUAGGAGGUUAUUGGUAACCUUUAUAAGAGCAUUAACAAUGGAGUGGCAAGAACACUAGUCAGAUUCAAAUGGGCUUAAAAAAGACUGGUUGUAAAGAAGUGAAGGAUAAAGAGAGACUUUUUUAUAUACAAUAAUUUUUAUUUUUUCAUUAUAACUGGUUUACAGUGUUCUGUCAAUUUUCUACUGUACAGCAUUGUGACCCAGUUACACAUACAUGUAUAGAUUCUCUUUUCUCACAUUAUCAUGCUCCAUCAUAAGUGACUAAAAAUAGUUUCCAGCGCUACACAACAGAACCUCAUUGCUUAUCCAUUGCAAAGGCAAUAAUCUGCAUCUAUUAACCCCAAGUUCCCAAUCCAUCCCGCCCCCCCCCCCCCUUGGCAACCACAAGUCUACUGGUGUCCUUCGAUAGCUCAGCUGGUAGAGUGGAGGACCAUAGGUACAGCAAGGAGAAAGAGAGUCUUAAUGAGGCAGAGAGAUGAAGUUAGGAAGUUAGGAAAAUAUUUUUCAUUGUUUGAAGUAAGGAGAGCCUGGAGUUCCUGUUGUGGCUCAGCAGUAACCCUGACUAGUGUACAUGAGGAUGCGGGUUCGAUCCCUGUCCUUGCUUGCUCAGUGGGUUAAGGAUCCAGCAUUGCCGUGAGCUGUGGUGUAGGCAGGCAGCUGCAGCUCUGAUUUGACCCCUAGCCUGGGAACCUCCAUGUGCCACUGUGCGGCCCUAAAAAAGAAAAUUUAAAAAAAGAGUAAAGAAAGACUGAAGAAAGUGGAUAAUAAACUGUGAUACAAUUUUUCACUCACAGGGCUGACAAUUUACAUUUGCUUAUACAGUCUCUUGACUAAACUGUGGGGAAACAGCUACUCUUGUAUUGUGCAUAUGAGAAUGUAAACUUCUCAUACUCAUUAAAUUUGUUAUAGCCUCCAUUUAAGUCAAUAAUGGGAUGUGUUUCUUAUUAGAAAUGCACAUAAUCUUUUAUCAAGCAUCUCCACUUUUGGAAAUUUACCCUAAACUCACACCUGUGAAACAAUAUAUAUUCAAGAUUAUUUAUUUGUUUAAGACAAAACUGACAUAUCCAUUAAUAGGCAGAUUUAAUUAAUUUAUGAUUAAAGAUGGGGAAAUGAUGUGUUUCUGAAGAUUGAGGGUGUAGAAUGUGGGAAGAAGAGGACAGAAGGAAAAGAUGGUGGCUGGAGAGCUAGAAGGAAUGAGAGAAAAGAAGCUAGGAAAAAGUAAAGGAAGAUAGAGACAAAGGAGAGAGGACACAUCCACCCGUGGGUACAGAGCCACACUGAGGAUGAGAAAGGAACAUGCUUAAGGAAACAGAAAGAGGGAACCCAGACUUAUGGGGAAGCGGGGAACAGAUGAAGUAGAAAGAAACUAAACAUGCUAAGUAGCAAGCUAAGUAUCUUACCUUUGGCUGAGAGGUCCUGGAUAACAGAGGAUGACCUGUCUAACUGGGUGUUUUCUGCAGGUUUAGUGAAGUGCUUUGCAAAUAGUUGGCAUGCAACACAUGUGGUCUUGAAUGAGCUGUGAGUUCAAAAAUGCAUGAACAGCACUUCUGUGUCCACUGUAUUCUAAUUUAUGUUUGAUUUUAAGCUAAUAACAUUAAAAUUUAGCAACCGCACCAAUAGUAAAUCUAGUUGUCAACUUGAUAUGCAUUGUCAGGUUUCACAUAUGGUUAUGGUGAAAAAACUAAGGUGUGGAAAACUUAUAUAGGGUCCUAUAAUUAUGACUUUUUCUUUUUCUUUUGAUGCAUUGACCAUUUCUAGAAGGAAAACAGAGUAUCUAGCAAUACCAACGGAAGAAAUUUAGAGAUUGAAAAUCAAUUUAUUUUCCUUUUAAAAGCUUAAUGACUAUUUUUAGGGCAUAUAUGCAUAGCAUAUACCACUUAGUGAAUGAAAUAUACAAAAUAACCUGUGUGAACACAUGCAAACAUAUUAUCCAGAUACGUAUUCAAAAUGGCUACAUAGCAACUAGCCAGAAUGAGGCGUAGAUAUUUAAUGACACUUUAUGGGAUAUUACCUAAUCAAAACGUGAGUCCGAAUCAAUGAGUCUAUUCAGUUCCACUAAUUUAGGCUUCAGUGAAGUGAACGAGAAGUAGAACAAAUCCUAGGAUAUGGCGUUUUGAAUAUAUAAAUGGUAUCACACUGAGGAUAUGAUUUGAUGUGAUUGACACACAUUUGUCAAUAUAUGACUAUAGAGAAUUCUGAGAAAAUGUUAUUAUAUCAUCUCAAAAUGAAGUUGGAAAAUAUUGACAACUAAGACACUGGGGACACAAAUUGGUAACAGCUAAAGGAAUGACUGCUGGGCAGCCACAAACAUCGCUUCGGGUUGAGAGGAAAUUUGCAUCUUCAUAAUAAGUGCUACACGAAAAGCAGAGCCCCUUUCACAUGCCAUCUUAGCUAUUCAGCCUAUUCUUAUCUUCUAUCUGGAAUCCCGCCUAGUAAGAAUGGGAAAUUCUUCAUUCAGUUUGCCAAUUAUAUCUACCAUGUGCAGGCGACACAGAGCACUGGCGAACAUUCAGAAGCCUGAGGAUUGAAUUCAUUGGUGGAGCAUGGUCACCUUUGUUCAGCAAUCCAGGAAGCUUUGCUGGCUUUAAUAAUACAUGAGGAGGCAUGAAGGGAAGACGGGCCUCGGCUGCUUUUCAGAUUCUUGUGUUGACUGCAUGCAUGCUGCCAUGAACCACGGAAAGCCCCAUCUCCAGCCUCUGUUUGGAAGCCUAAGUGAGGAAACAAGGCUUGGAGAAAUUUGCAUUUAGAGGAGUGAUUUUUUUUUUUUUUGCAAUAAAAAUUACUCAGGAAGGAAUAGUUACAUUAUGGCCAAGCAUUCAUGAGUUAUACAGAAACCCUUCUCUAACAGAAUAAAAUUAGAAAAUACAGUUAAAAAUGUAAUAACAUAGCUUUAACAAUUAGCUAAAAAAUGAAACUCUUGUGCUGGAGAAGGAACUCUAAGAACAAAACCAUGUUGCUUUAUAUUCUAUAAAUGUCCCAUGAGUAGUUCAAAAUAGUAUAUAUUUUAAAUGUGUACAUUUUAGCCUCUGUGUAUGAAUUUGCUGAAUAUACAGAUUAAGCCAAAAACAUCAUUUAUCAUUCUUUACUGCUAAGUCUUAUGUAUUUCUAGGGACAAAACAUCCAACAUCACCUAGAAAUCACUACAGGUUCAUACACAAACACACACAAGCGCACACACGCACGCACACCUCAGUAGGUUAAAGGUUUUCCAGUGACAAACAGUGCUCAAACAUUAAUACAUUUCAACACUGGACUCCUUGUCCAGUGCCCUGGAAGAAGGAUUGAAAACUCACAUGUUUUCAUGCCCUUUUUUAAAGGACUAAGCUAAGACAACAGAGGAUAUUCAGACCAAAGACUGGGUCCAGGCCCAAAGUAUUAAAAACAAACAAAAAAAAAAGGUACCACAUGACAUUGGCCAAACUGAACUUUUAACAGGUCAAUCAUGUCUACCACUUUGUUGUCACAGCUUGAGCAUAACUUCUGCUUUUUCUGAAUUCUUCAAGAAACACCUUGAAAGGAACAGAGUAUAAGAAUAGCAAAGGGAUGCAUCUGAGUCGUCCACCCACACACCCUCUGUAUAUCCCAGACUUAAAUGUGCCUUUUGGAAUUGAGGCACAAAUAAGCGUUAAGCCCUUUUCCCUCCCUCUCCUCUCCAAAACAGCAGUCAGGCCUUCUCUGCGAAGGCUGUCUUGGGCCUUGUCCUGCCUCCUUUCAUCUCCCAGCCUCCCCCUGCUCACAUCCUAGAAAGUUUACCUUUCUUUGCAUCCUCCACACCCUCCAGUCCCAUUUGCCUGUGGGCUUCACUGUCCCAGAAAUCAAGGGACAAGUGCAUAGAAUCCUAAUGAGAGAUGGUGGAUAAAGGUCGGGGCCCAGAAAAUAAAAGCCUUUGCGCUCAAUGGUGUUCACCAGGGAAAAGAGUAGGAAGAUGCUUUCAGUGAGCUUUAUAUCUACUAUGGUGACAAAUGGGAUUAUUUUCUACUAAAGCUUCUGAAAUACCGCCAUUAAAAAAAAAAAAAAAAAAAAAAAAA